rnacentral:rRNA from 1 species
AUUGAACGCUGGCGGCAGGCCUAACACAUGCAAGUCGAACGGUAACAGGAAGCAGCUUGCUGCUUUGCUGACGAGUGGCGGACGGGUGAGUAAUGUCUGGGAAACUGCCCGAUGGAGGGGGAUAACUACUGGAAACGGUAGCUAAUACCGCAUAACGUCGCAAGACCAAAGAGGGGGACCUUAGGGCCUCUUGCCAUCGGCUGUGCCCAGAUGGGAUUAGCUAGUAGGUGGGGUAACGGCUCACCUAGGCGACGAUCCCUAGCUGGUCUGAGAGGAUGACCAGCCACACUGGAACUGAGACACGGUCCAGACUCCUACGGGAGGCAGCAGUGGGGAAUAUUGCACAAAGGGCGGAAGCCUGAUGGAGCCAUGCCGCGUGUGUGAAGAAGGGCUUCGGGUUGUAAAGUACUUUCAGCGGGGAGGAAGGGAGGAAAGUUUAAACCUGUGCUCAUUGACGUUACCCGCAGAAGAAGCACCGGCUAACUCCGUG